rnacentral:rRNA from 1 species
GACGAACGCUGGCGGCGUGCUUAACACAUGCAAGUCGAACGGAAAGGCCCUGCUUUUGUGGGGUGCUCGAGUGGCGAACGGGUGAGUAACACGUGAGUAACCUGCCCUUGACUUUGGGAUAACUUCAGGAAACUGGGGCUAAUACCGGAUAGGAGCUCCUGCUGCAUGUUGGGGGUUGGAAAGUUUCGGCGGUUGGGGAUGGACUUGCGGCUUAUCAGCUUGUUGGUGGGGUAGUGGCUUACCAAGGCUUUGACGGGUAGCCGGCCUGGGAGGGUGACCGGCCACAUUGGGACUGAGAUACGGCCCAGAGUCCUACGGGAGGCAGCAGUGGGGAAUAUUGCACAAUGGGCGGAAGCCUGAUGCAGCAACGCCGCGUGCGGGAUGACGGCCUUCGGGUUGUAAACCGCUUUCGCCUGUGACGAAGCGUGAGUGACGGUAAUGGGUAAAGAAGCACCGGCUAACUACGUG